GAUGGUCAGGCAGUUGUUAAACUGUCUCUCUAAAAAAAUAAUUGGUUACAGCCAGUGCCGUGGAAAGGCAGUCUCCCAGCAGAUAGAAACACCUGAAACUGGUGAUCAGCUUCCCAGUAAGGUCUCAGGAGUUGCGCAAGUGGGCUCAAGCAUGCGCAUUAAGAGGCAAAAUGGCGGAGUUUAACUGGUAGAUGACCUUGCACGGACAUUUGACUGGUACGGGAAGAACGCUUCAAAUGAGCAUACAUACAGCUCCGGUAAACACACUGCACGUGUGGCACCUCCAAGAGCGGGCAGGCAACUGCACAGGCAGACAGCCCACCCCAAGGGCAGAAUCAGGGAAGAAGAGACGCAGGACCCCGGAAGCAUGCCAACGUCACACCGCGCACUUCAUCCCUCAAGUCACCCGCGUGGCCCUCUUGCGAGUGAGCUUUGCUUCCUUUCGUUCCUGGGGUCUCACUCUGUCGCCAGCUAGAAUGCAGUGGCACAAUCCCAGCUCAGUGCAGCCUCAACCUCCAGGGCUCAAGUGAUCCUCCCACCUCAGCCUCCUGAGUAACUG
rnacentral:lncRNA from 1 species